GUGCGUAGUGGCGGCUCCGUGCGGCGGCUGCGCGUGCGUAUUGCGCGUUCGCUGAGGCGGUGUGGUUGAGCGGAGCAUGCGCAGGUGUCCCGUCCGAGCUGAAGCGGUCGGUAUGGCUGCCAGCGCCAAGUCGUUCCUGUCCGAUGCGGGCUAUGGGGAGCAGGAGCUGAACGCGAACUCUGCUCUCAUGGAAGUCGACAAAGUUCCUGUCCUUCACCUCUUGGGGAGUUUACUUACUGGAUGCACUUCCUGGCCUUGUGUUUGACGCAGCAAAAGAAGAUGUGGCACUGCGGAUGAGCAUACCGAGGAAGCUGCUUCUGCAGGUGGAUGUAGCUGACUCAAGGAGAAAGCUGAGCAACCUUGGAUGCUGAGCUCUAAUUGUGGGAAACUAUAGCCUUGGCAGAGAUCAUUCUCUGCACGAAAACAUGGGAAAUUACAGAAGCAUAACAAGACAAUUGACCUUGCUUAUGCCUGCCGAGAAUCUUCUUAUUGUCCAGUAACAAGGCUCAGGGUAUUGGGAUCGCUCACUGCGUGGCCUUGGCUCUGCAAGAAUUGCACGAGUGCGGACUUGUAGAAAUGCUUUUUGUUGUGUUAAUAAAAAAAUGGAGAGGGUGAGGGUGGAUG